UUCGGAUUGCAGGCUGCAACUCGCCUGCAUGAAGUCGGAAUUGCUAGUAAUCGCGGAUCAGCAUGCCGCGGUGAAUACGUUCCCGGGCCUUGUACACACCGCCCGUCACACCAUGAGAGCCGGUAAUACCCGAAGUUAGUAUCCUAACCGCAAGGAGGGAGCUGCCGAAGGUAGGAUUGGCGAUUGGGGUGAAGUCGUAACAAGGUAAC
rnacentral:rRNA from 1 species